GAUGAACGCUCGCUACAGGCUUAACACAUGCAAGUCGAGGGGAAACGCCAUCGAAAGCUUGCUUUUGAUGGGCGUCGACCGGCGCACGGGUGAGUAACGCGUAUCCAACCUGCCCAUCACUUGGGAAUAACCUUGCGAAAGUAAGACUAAUACCCAAUGAUAUCCCACGAAGGCAUCGGAAUGGGAUUAAAGAUUUAUCGGUGAUGGAUGGGGAUGCGUCUGAUUAGCUUGUUGGCGGGGUAACGGCCCACCAAGGCAACGAUCAGUAGGGGUUCUGAGAGGAAGGUCCCCCACAUUGGAACUGAGACACGGUCCAAACUCCUACGGGAGGCAGCAGUGAGGAAUAGUGGUCAAUGGGCGAGAGCCUGAACCAGCCAAGUAGCGUGCAGGAAGACGGCCCUAUGGGUUGUAAACUGCUUUUAUAAGGGAAUAAAGUGGGUCACGUGUGACUUUUUGCAUGUACCUUAUGAAUAAGGACCGGCUAAUUCCGUG
rnacentral:rRNA from 1 species